GACGAACGCUGGCGGCGUGCUUAACACAUGCAAGUCGAGCGGUAAGGCCCUUCGGGUACGACGAGCGGCGAACGGGUGAGUAACACGUGGGUGACCUGCCCUCCAGCUCUGGGAGUAAGCCUGGGAAACCGGGUACCGUAAUACCGGAUAUGACUCCAUGACGCAUGUUGUGGGGUGGAAAGCCUUGUGCGGCUGAGGAUGGGCCCGCGGCCUAUCAGCUUGUUGGUGGGGU
rnacentral:rRNA from 1 species